rnacentral:pre_miRNA from 15 species
AGUGCCAUCGUGCCCAACAGUCGGUUUUCACCGUGAUCUGAGAGCAAUCCAAAAAUGCUUUUCUGAGAUCAUCGUGAAAGCUAGUUGUUGGUCUACGGGCUU